ensembl:snoRNA small nucleolar RNA SNORA5
AGAGAGAUGGAAACAUCAAUGUGACUGCCCCAUCCAUGGCAGGCACUGGCCCCGAAGGCUGCCACAGAAACACUCUGGCGGAUGGGCCCUGAUCCCCUCUGCUGGGCCUCAGGGGUAAAUUUGGCUACAGACAUCA